AUCCAGCCGAUAAGUCCCAAAUGGGACGAAACGCGCAUCCUGGAU
rfam:Schistosoma mansoni, Puerto Rico, WGS project CABG01000000 data, contig: 0171